rnacentral:rRNA from 1 species
GAUUCAGCGCGCCCCGUGGGGUUAUGACGGCCCUCGGGUUGUAAACCGCUUUCAGCAGGGAAGAAACUGACGGUACCUGCAGAAGAAGGUGCGGCCAACUACGUGCCAGCAGCCGCGGUGACACGUAGGCACCAAGCGUUGUCCGGAUUUAUUGGGCGUAAAGAGCUCGUAGGCGGUUUAGUAAGUCGGGUGUGAAAACUCUGGGCUUAACCCAGAGAGGCCACCCGAUACUGCUAUGACUUGAGUACGGUAGGGGAGCGGGGAAUUCCUGGUGUAGCGGUGAAAUGCGCAGAUAUCAGGAAGAACACCGGUGGCGAAGGCGCCGCUCUGGGCCGAAACUGACGCUGAGGAGCGAAAGCGUGGGUAGCAAACAGGAUUAGAUACCCUGGUAGUCCACGCCGUAAACGUUGGGCACUAGGUGUGGGUCUCAACUAACGAGAUCCGCGCCGUAGCUAACGCAUUAAGUGCCCCGCCUGGGGAGUACGGUCGCAAGACUAAAACUCAAAGGAAUUGACGGAC